rnacentral:rRNA from 1 species
GGUGGCGAAGGCGGGUCUNUGGGCCGUUACUGACGCUGAGGAGCGAAAGCGUGGGGAGCGAACAGGAUUAGAUACCCUGGUAGUNCAAGCCGUAAACGUUGGGCACUAGGUGUGGGGGGCCUUUUCCGGGUCUUCCGCGCCGUAGCUAACGCAUUAAGUACCCCGCCUGGGGAGUACGGCCGCAAGGCUAAAACUCAAAGGAAUUGACGGGGGCCCGCACAAGCGGCGGAGCAUGCGGAUUAAUUCGAUGCAGCGCGAAGAACCUUACCAAGGCUUGACAUGUGCCGGUCGGCUCCGGAGAUGGGGCUUCCUCCUUGUGGGGCCGGUUCACAGGUGGCGCAUGGUUGUCGUCAGCUCGUGUCGUGAGAUGUUGGGUUAAGUCCCGCAACGAGCGCAACCCUUGUCCCGUGUUGCCAGCACGUUGUGGUGGGGACUCGCGGGAGACUGCCGGGGUCAACUCGGAGGAAGGUGGGGAUGACGUCAAAUCAUCAUGCCCCUUAUGUCUUGGGCUUCACGCAUGCUACAAUGGCCGGUACAGAGGGCUGCGAUACCGUGAGGUGGAGCGAAUCCCUUAAAGCCGGUCUCAGUUCGGAUCGGUGUCUGCAACUCGACACCGUGAAGUUGGAGUCGCUAGUAAUCGCAGAUCAGCAACGCUGCGGUGAAUACGUUCUCGGGCCUUGUACACACCGCCCGUCACGUCAUGAAAGUCGGCAACACCCGAAGCCCGUGGCCCUACGGG